UUAAACUGAAGAGUUUGAUCCUGGCUCAGAUUGAACGCUGGCGGCAUGCCUUACACAUGCAAGUCGAACGGCAGCACGGGUGCUUGCACCUGGUGGCGAGUGGCGAACGGGUGAGUAAUACAUCGGAACAUGUCCUGUAGUGGGGGAUAGCCCGGCGAAAGCCGGAUUAAUACCGCAUACGAUCCACGGAUGAAAGCGGGGGACCUUCGGGCCUCGCGCUAUAGGGU
rnacentral:rRNA from 1 species